CUGAGGACACUGACAUCUGCCUGUAUAGAGGAGAGAGACUUUGAAGGCUGUGUAGAGGAGCCUGAGCCUUCAGUUGACCAACUUGAGUUACAACCAGCCCCCAGGAAUGAAUUGAGUUCAUAUGUCUAGGGUCCACUGUAGUUCUCAUGAGAAUGCAUUGCUAUAAGACAGCCCAAACUCUCGACUUCUCUCUGGCUUCCUGUUUGACAACAUGAUCUCUUUCUUCCACACACACUCCCACCACUGUGAUACCAGUCCACCAUUAGGCACUCCCUGAGCUCAAACUAAGGAGGCUCCCUGAUUCUAGGCUUUGAAUCUCCAGAACAGUGAGCUCAACAAUCCUCAUUUCCUUAUAAAGUUAGCCUGUAUCUGGUACUUUGCUAUAGUAAAGCAAAAUGGACUAAUACAACAAAUUUGUCACUGCUAGGGGCGCUUGCUGCACCUCUGGGAGGAGCUGUUUUUACUUCCUGAUGGUCAGUGCUGCUUAUCAAUAAGAAGGGUGGAAAAAGAAAAAUAAGAAUUCUCAUCCAAAGGUGUACAGCAGAAUUUGCCAGAGAAAUGCAGGACAUGUGAUGUUGAGGUACAAGAAACCCAGAGAUGCCUCUAGGCAUGACCCAGUUGGAGCCAGGCAUGGUGGUGCAUGCCUGUAAUCCCAGCACUCUGGGCGGCUGAGGCAGGAGGAUUGCAAAUUUGAGCUCAGACUGGGC
rnacentral:lncRNA from 1 species